rnacentral:lncRNA from 1 species
UGAUUGGCGGUCCUACCGUCACUCACAUUGUUAAUCACAAACAGCAAGGCUAGACGCUGAAAACUUUAGCUACGUACGAGUGUUUUACAUAGAAAAUGUUUUUAAAACACGGAUAACACAUUCUAUACGAGCUGACUGGACACGAUGAUAUACAAUACACCGAACAACACUUUUCAUCGACAGACAGUAAGACAGGUGUCUCUAGCUGUAUGUAGGGACACUUCAUAUGCUGUCGUUCCUCUCCAGAUGUCUGCAUAGUGCUUGAAAGAGGAGAAGAGCUGAAAGGGGCUGCAAUGUUAUCUCUCUCAGACACACGCAAUUUGGCCGGCAGUUUCUCCAGCCACCUUCUGAUUCAAUCAAUAAGCAACAGGUGCCGUGUGCCUCUCCCCCGGGUGCUGCCAGCUUCUGCGGGGCUUUUAAGAUCCCACACCAUAAUUAAGACUGUAUCCAGUGAAUCAGUCGGCCCAGCGCUCUACAGCUGACACACACACACACGCAUCCAAACAGCAUCAGAACAAACGUACAGACAUCACUUAGCAUAAGUGCUACUCAGUUGGAGCCCAGCACUCCAGCUUACUCUAAACUGGUUUUC